ACUAUUAAAAAGAAACUGAAAUGAACUUUCAACUUACAAAUACAUAUUGGUGGUGGCGCUUACAACUUCAACGGUCGUGAGCCUAGGUCAUUGUGUAUUGUAGUAAAAUGAAAUUUUAAUAAAAAUACAAGCCUGUC
rfam:Dysgonomonas macrotermitis strain DSM 27370 genome assembly, contig: Ga0131167_105